rnacentral:rRNA from 1 species
GAAUCCGCUAAGGAGUGUGUAACAACUCACCUGCCGAAUGAAUUAGCCCUGAAAAUGGAUGGCGCUGAAGCGGGUAGCCGACACCACGCCGUUUGGGCAAGCAAGUGCUCCCAAAUGAGUAGGAGGACGUGGCGGUCGUAACGAAGCGUGGGCGCGAGCGCACGUGGAACGGCCGCUAGUGCAGAUCUUGGUGUUAGUAGCAAAUAUUCAAAUGAGAACCUUGAAGGGCGAAGCGGGGAAGGGUUCCACGCGAACAUUGAUUGGGCGUGGGUGAGUCGUACCUAAACCACGUGGCAAUAGCUAAUUAUAUUUCUGGGUGAAAGGGAAGCAGGUUGACAUUCCUGCACACGAAUGUAGAGCCGCGGUGACGCAUCUUCUAGGGGCGGUGAAGCUGGCCAUGGCACUGGGCAGAGUUGUCUUUUCUGUUUAACACGCUUGACAUGCUGUGUGGAAUCCGCUUGUCGGGAGAAGCACGCAUGCUCGGGCAUAGCGCCGGGGUGUUUUCCGGCGUCCAGCUCGCCAUCGUCGGACCUUGAAAAACUGCCUGCUGGCACUUGACUUUUUUAAAAAGUCAGGUGUGGAAGAACUCUACGUCGUAACGUACCCAUAACCGCAUCAGGUCCCCCAAGGUGAACAGCCUCUGCUCGAUAUGAAAAAUGCAGGUAAGGGAAGUCGGCA